rnacentral:rRNA from 1 species
CCCUUCGAUGUUCUGGGCCGCACGCGCGCUACACUGAUCGGGUCAACAAGUAUACAACCUUUUCUGAAAGGAAUGGGUAAUCUUUUGAAACCCGAUCGUGAUAGGGAUAGAUGAUUGCAAUUAUUUGUCUUGAACGAGGAAUGCCUAGUAGGGAUGGUUCAACAGACCGUCCCGAUUAUGUCCCUGCCCUUUGUACACACCGCCCGUCGCUCCUACCGAUUGGAUGUUCCGGUGAGGACUCUGGACUUGUGACUUUAGUGAUAUGAGGUUCUGCUUCAUAACACGGUUACGGGGAAAUUGUUCAAAUCUUAACAUUUAGAGGAAGGAGAAGUCGUAACA